rnacentral:misc_RNA from 1 species
GAACGCACAUUGCGCCCUCUGGUAUUCCGGGGGGCAUGCCUGUUCGAGCGUCAUUUCAACCCUCAAGCCCCCGGGCUUGGUGUUGGGGAUCGGCGAGCCUCCGCGCCCGCCGUCCCCUAAAUCUAGUGGCGGUCUCGCUGUAGCUUCCUCUGCGUAGUAGCACACCUCGCACUGGGAAACAGCGCGGCCACGCCGUUAAACCCCCAACUUCUGAACGUUUGACCUCGGAUCAGGUAGGAAUACCCGCUGAACUUAAG